UACAGAGGUGGCAAGCGUUGUUCGGAAUUACUGGGCGUAAAGGGCGCGUAGGCGGCCUUGUAAGUCUCGUGUGAAAGCCCUCGGCUUAACUGAGGAUCUGCACGGGAUACUGCGGGGCUUGAGUUCGGGAGAGGAAAGCGGAAUUCCGGGUGUAGCGGUGAAAUGCGUAGAUAUCCGGAGGAACACCAGUGGCGAAGGCGGCCAUCUGGAUCAACACUGACGCUGAGGCACGAAAGCGUGGGGAGCAAACAGG
rnacentral:rRNA from 1 species